rnacentral:sRNA from 1 species
GGACUACAGACCACACAGGCUCACCUGGAAAGGCUAUUGCAGAGGGUUUUGCGGGACAAAGAAGUGGCCAAUCGAUACUUUACCACUGUCUGUGUGAGAUUACUGCUUGAGAGCAAGGAAAAGAAGAUCAGGGAAUUCAUUCAAGACUUUCAGAAACUCACCGCAGCUGAUGAUAAAACUGCUCAGGUAGAAGAUUUUCUGCAGUUUCUUUAUGGUGCAAUGGCCCAGGAUGUCAUAUGGCAAAACGCGAGUGAAGAACAGCUUCAAGAUGCACAGCUGGCCAUUGAGCGAAGCGUGAUGAACCGGAUUUUCAAGCUCGCCUUCUACCCUAAUCAGGAUGGGGACAUACUUCGCGACCAGGUUCUUCAUGAACAUAUCCAGAGAUUGUCUAAAGUAGUGACUGCAAAUCACAGAGCUCUUCAGAUACCAGAGGUAAUACAGGUUUAUAUAGCAUGGGUAAUGUUAACUAAAUGCUGCGUGUUAUUAUACCAUAUAAUGUUACCACGUUUUCAAGGAACUGAAAUGCGAUAAAAUAUAAAACAUCAUUUUCACUCUAUGUAAUUCAGUCUAACUGUGAAGUUCCUGAAGAUGCUUUCAGGGAUUAAAAUUCCCUGGUAUGAAAUAGUAGAAAGCCAGUUGUGAGGAGCCCUUCCUUGAUGCCACUUCUCAAGCCAGCCCUGCUCUCAGGAGCAGUACCUCUCCAUCGGUGCUUUUAUAGUCAGGUUUCUACAGAAAUGUUUUGAAGAAGCAGGAGGCUGAUAGCACUCCAAAGAGUGAGAUAUGCUGU